GGUGUGCACUGGUCCUAGAGCAGGACAGUGCUUUUUGUGUCUCUGCAACAGGCUCAGUAAUACAACAAAAAGCAAUGGGUUACAUCAGUGCAUGUCUUACCACUGGGCUGACUGCUUUUGGCUUCAAAAAGAGCUUCUUGAUCAUUCCUUCUAAAUUCCCAGCCUAGAAUUUAUUCCCCAGAAGAAAAACCUGAGAGCCCUUCGCUGCACAGCGAUCACACAGGAGCAAACCUUUGGUGGAUUAAGGAUGGUGUGCCCAGGCUUCUCCUUGUCACAUGACAGCUCUGACACCUCGCCCAAAUCCCAGCCAGACUCCAAGUCCUCUCCAUCUCCAUGUGGCCUGGAAGGGAGGGCAGCAUGAGCCAAUGUCCUCAGUGUAAGGCGGACAAAAUCUGUGAGACGCCACAGGUGCCCUCCUGCUUUUGGUGAACUCUCCUGAAUCUCCUCACAGUGUGCUGUGGGAAUUGUCUUUGGAAAGACUGUUCCACCUCCAUGCAUUUCCUGCAUUGCUCAUCCCUGUUCCAAUACUUCCAUUACUCUUCAUCUCCCUUCCCUUAAAUCUCUAACACCUUGUUCCUCUUGCUGCCAGCCUGGCCAGAGGUCAGGACACUCUAUGCACAGUAGUACCCAAGUCUGAUUUUGGAAAUGCCACUUUAGAAACCUGACUCUCAUG